rnacentral:rRNA from 1 species
GACGAACGCUGGCGGCGUGCCUAAUACAUGCAAGUCGAACGCACUCUCGUUUAGAUUGAAGGAGUUUGCUCCUGAUUGAUAAACAUUUGAGUGAGUGGCGGACGGGUGAGUAACACGUGGGUAACCUGCCCUAAAGUGGGGGAUAACAUUUGGAAACAGAUGCUAAUACUGCAUAAAACCUAACACCGCAUGGUGUAGGGUUGAAAGAUGGUUUCGGCUAUCACUUUAGGAUGGACCCGCGGUGCAUUAGUUAGUUGGUGAGGUAAAGGCUCACCAAGACCGUGAUGCAUAGCCGACCUGAGAGGGUAAUCGGCCACACUGGGACUGAGACACGGCCCAGACUCCUACGGGAGGCAGCAGUAGGGAAUCUUCCACAAUGGACGAAAGUCUGAUGGAGCAACGCCGCGUGAGUGAAGAAGGUUUUCGGAUCGUAAAACUCUGUUGUUGGAGAAGAAUGUAUCUGAUAGUAACUGAUCAGGUAGUGACGGUAUCCAACCAGAAAGCCACGGCUAACUACGUG